UACGGAGGGUGCAAGCGUUGUCCGGAUUUAUUGGGUUUAAAGGGUGCGUAGGCGGCCCGUUAAGUCAGUGGUGAAAUCCCAGGGCUCAACCCUGGAACUGCCAUUGAUACUGAUGGGCUUGAGUAAAGUUGAGGUAGGCGGAAUUGACGGUGUAGCGGUGAAAUGCUUAGAUAUCGUCAAGAACACCUAUUGCGAAGGCAGCUUACCAAGCUUUAACUGACGCUGAUGCACGAAAGUGUGGGGAUCAAACAGG
rnacentral:rRNA from 1 species